UACGUAGGGACCAAGCGUUGUUCGGAUUUACUGGGCGUAAAGGGCGCGUAGGCGGCGCGGUAAGUCACUUGUGAAAUCUCUGAGCUUAACUCAGAACGGCCAAGUGAUACUGCAGUGCUAGAGUGCAGAAAGGGCAAUCGGAAUUCUUGGUGUAGCGGUGAAAUGCGUAGAUAUCAGGAGGAACACCGGUGGCGAAGGCGGUUCUCUGGGCAUGUCCUGACGCUGAGGAGCGAAAGCGUGGGGAGCGAACAGG
rnacentral:rRNA from 1 species